rnacentral:rRNA from 1 species
GAUGAACGCUGGCGGCGUGCCUAAUACAUGCAAGUCGAACGCGCAGCGAGAGGUGCUUGCACCUUUCAAGCGAGUGGCGAACGGGUGAGUAACACGUGGAUAACCUGCCUCAAGGCUGGGGAUAACAUUUGGAAACAGAUGCUAAUACCGAAUAAAACUUAGUAUCGCAUGAUAUAAAGUUAAAAGGCGCUACGGCGUCACCUAGAGAUGGAUCCGCGGUGCAUUAGUUAGUUGGUGGGGUAAAGGCUUACCAAGACAAUGAUGCAUAGCCGUGUUGAGAAGCUGAUCGGCCACAUUGGGACUUGGCCACGGCCCAAACUCCUGAGGGAGGCUGCAGUAGGGAAUCUUCCACAAGGGGCGCAAGCCUGAUGGAGCAACGCUGAGUGUGUGAUGAAGGCUUUCGGGUAGUAAAGCACUGUUGUAUGGGAAGAAAUGCUAAAAUAGGGAAUGAUUUUAGUUUGACGGUACCAUACCAGAAAGGGACGGCUAAAUACGUGCCAGCCGCCGCAGUAAUAC